UCUUUCUAGCUGUGGUGAUUUAUAAUUUGCAUCUCCUUGCCUAGUUUUAAAAUUACUCUAUAAUGGGAAUUGUCUGUUAUUGUGUAAACACACGCAGGAAGUGGCCUUCUGUUCUUAAUAUUCCCCAAAAUCUGAAAUACCCAACGCGAACAUCGUUGGUAAGCUACUAGUCUAUAAAUUUUGUGUAUCUUGUCCAAAUCUUUGUCAUCCAGAGGCCAGUUUAAUAUCUUCAAGAUAGCGACAAACAUCUAUUUUAAUAAUAGCCCUUCCGACAGCAUGUUCGCUUUGAAUUCUGCAUGUGUUGACAGUGUAGUAAAGGCAGUCAAGCACUUCUCCCCUUGUGUUUCAGCCUCCUUCAAUCAUACAUCUUAUUCAUCAUAUUCUAACGCUUUAUCGUGGCAACAAAACAAUUCAAUAUCCUUUGGCUUCAAUGUGCAAUGCGCCAAGCAUUUUCGACCUCAAACACAUGGUGAUUUCCUCGUCAGACUAUUCACUCUGUUCUUCGGAGUCGCUCUCGUCACCGCUAUCGCUUGUUUCUAAGCCCAGUUUAGGUUCAAAUUGAUAAGGUAAUACCUUAUCUACUUGAUAUCGUGGAUAUUUUCCAUCCGAGUAAUCAAAAAGCGCCAAAUUUCUCACUAGAAGUACGAAGUCGCAAUAUGCGCCUAAUAAAAUAUAUUUGUUGUUUUGAUUCUACCCUGCUCUUGACGUCACACAGGUCAUGUGACACAAAAGAUAAUUUUUUUGAAAAUCGAUCCAAGAUGGCGGACG